CCCUUAGAUGUUCUGGGCCGCACGCGCGCUACACUGACGAAGUCAGCGAGCAUGUCCUACGCCGACAGGUGCGGGGAAUCUUGUCAAACUUCGUCGUGAUGGGGAUUGAUUUUUGAAAUUCUUGAUCAUAAACGAGGAAUUCCUAGUAAGCGCAAGUCAGCAGCUUGCGUUGAUUACGUCCCUGCCCUUUGUACACACCGCCCGUCGCUACUACCGAUUGAACGUUUUAGUGAGCUCCUCGGAUUGUCAGCCUGGCGGUUAAUCCUACCUGGCUAGCGAAAAGACGAGCAAACUUGAGCGUUUAGAGGAAGUAAAAGUCGUAACA
rnacentral:rRNA from 1 species